rnacentral:rRNA from 1 species
UACAGAGGUCUCAAGCGUUGUUCGGAUUCAUUGGGCGUAAAGGGUGCGUAGGCGGCGCGGUAAGUCGGGUGUGAAAUCUCGGGGCUUAACUCCGAAACUGCAUUCGAUACUGCCGUGCUUGAGGACUGGAGAGGAGACUGGAAUUUACGGUGUAGCGGUGAAAUGCGUAGAGAUCCGGAGGAACACCGAAGGCGAAGGCAGUGUCCUGGCGCGUAACUGACGCUGAGGUGCGAAAGCCAGGGGAGCGAACGGG